AUGCCGAGGGCCGUCAGGAUCCGCGGCGACGAGCCGGAGACGGAGCGGAGAGCGAAGAGGCGAAACGUGGCAGGGGAGGAGGAGGAGGAAGGGACAGCUCUCCGCUCCACGAGCCCUAGAUCUCCCGGCGACCGCGUGGAUCGGAGGAGGAGGAGGAGGAGGAGGAGGAAGGGAGCUGUUCGGACUUCCCACCCAGAGAUGCUCUUCGCGGUCUUCGAGCCUGACAAAGAUCAAUCAGAAGGAAAACAAGAUCGUGUGUACGAUGUGGACGAGUCGGUGACGGAGGAAUCCUCCGAUCCACCCAGCCCUCCGAUCUACGAACCCUACAUCCCCGACGAGCUGGUUGAUGAUCCGGACAUACUCGCUGCCUUCGACUACGCCAAGGCCAAUUACGAAGCAGAAAAGUCUCGUCGAGCUAACCUCUUCACUAUGGAUCACUACGGUUAUGAAGCACCUUCUUGCUUGUUCGAUGACCAUCGCUUUCUACCUAUUCGUGAACGGGCAACGGGGAGUCAGCCACUCAACAAGUGUUGUGGUUUGUGGUUUCAAAGGAACGACAGAAGCAAAACCGCCCAUGUUUUGACGUCUGCGCAUCUCAUUCGUGAAAAGAAUCCCUCCGUGAAGAACCAUUGGAAAUCGCAGUGGAUAGGAAAAUAUCAUCGUGGCGCUGAGGUCAAUGUUCACUUCCUCGACAAAAGAGUUGUACCAGGCCAACUCGUCUAUCUUCAGGAGCAUUAUGAACUUGCUCUUUAUGAGGUUAAAGUGAAUAAACCAGUUCACCUGCCCACUUUUAAUGACUGUGUGCGUUCUGGUAAAGAUGUUUUUCGACUUGGAAGAGAUGAAAAUCUAGAUCUGAAGAUAACACAUGGUAUGGCAGCCUAUGAGGUUCCAUCUUGGUAUGAAAGAUGCCACUACAUGUAUUUUUGUCGUGAUGCAUCUAGUCGCAAACUGCUUGCUGAUGAUGGAGGACCGAUCAUUGACUUAGAAGGGAAGGUUGUGGGUUUAGUUAAUAAUCAUAUCAAUGAGACAUUCAUACCUUCGUCCAUAUUGCAUAAGUGCUUCGAUUUUUGGAGAAGAUUCGAUUGUAUGCCUCGCCUUCAUCUUGGAAUGACGUUCACUUCAAUCAAGCAUUUAGAUCCUAUCUCUAUUGAGAGAAUGACUCGAGAUCAUAACAUCGAGUCCGGUCUUAUUGUUGAACAGGUGUCUAAAGGAUCGCAUGCUGAGAAAAUUGGAAUUCGUGAGGGUGAUGUUAUUGAAAGCUUUAAUGGAAAGUACAUUUCUACUACAAUCGAGUUGGAGCAGAUGUUGAUAGACAUAUGCUGGGAACAUUUUGAUCAAGGAAAAGAUUUAUAUGCUGAAAAAGAUGUUUCGGUGAAAAUAUUUGAUGCCAUCAAACAUCGCCGGAGAACUAGAAACUUGACUGUAAUUGUAUCGGAUCUUGGAGAAGACAUUGUGAAAGGCACUUACCCUAUCAUGGGUAAAGAAGCCAUGCCAGUCUCUUAUGAUUCUUGA
rnacentral:rRNA from 1 species